rnacentral:rRNA from 1 species
GACGAACGCUGGCGGCGUGCUUAACACAUGCAAGUCGAGCGGUAAGGCCCUUUCGGGGGUACACGAGCGGCGAACGGGUGAGUAACACGUGGGUGACCUGCCCUUAGCUCUGGGAUAAGCCUGGGAAACUGGGUCUAAUACCGGAUAUGACUCCAUAACGCAUGUUGUGGGGUGAAAGCCUUGUGCGGCUAGGGAUGGGCCCGCGGCCUAUCAGCUUGUUGGUGGGGUGAUGGCCACCAAGGCGACGACGGGUAGCCGGCCUGAGAGGGCGACCGGCCACACUGGGACUGAGACACGGCCCAGACUCCUACGGGAGGCAGCAGUGGGGAAUCUUGCGCAAUGGGCGAAAGCCUGACGCAGCGACGCCGCGUGGGGAUGACGCCU